AAUGAACAGCAGAAAUGGUGCUUUAUGCUAAGGAAGAACUUGGAGAUGUGGAACAGAUGGCUUGUUGUCUGUUUCUAUUUUGAGCAUGACUAUGAGCAAUGGAUCCAAUUAUAUAACUGGAAGGGGAGAACCAUCUAAGACAUUUGUGGUUGAUGAGGUUGACUGUGGAGCCACAGAUUGGCACCAGGUGCACUGCCAGUUCCGGCAAUCUUGUAGUACCUGCUCAGAAGUAGCCAUGGUAACCAUGGGUAACUCCAAGAAUCAUACCCUAGACCUUCACUGGGAAAGGAAGUGAGAAGUGGCUACCACCAAGCCCAGCAGAUGGUUUCUAUCGUCAUUACAGACAAUAUGGAUAUGAACACUUUACCUUCAUUACAAAAGACUGAAUAAUUUAAAAAGACCUUCAGUUUUUAAUCCCUCUGUCAAAGAAAGAUUAAAUACUCACUUGAUGUUUAGUUAAAUAAUGAGUUAAAUAAAUAGUGAGUAUUUAGUUAAAUACUCACUCACUUGAUU
rnacentral:lncRNA from 1 species